CCACAGCGAACGCUUCCUUCUUGCGCCGGAGCCGGCCUUGCUCACUGCGCAUGCUCAGUCCGCCGCGCCGCGCCGCGCCGCGCCGCCUCCCGGGAGCCUCCGAGCGGCCGCCUCCCCGGGUUUUGCCUGGAGCCAGACAGGGCGGGGACGGAGGGCGGCCAGGGCCGGAGCUAGCGGGCGGGCCGGAGUCUGGCCGGGGAGCUGUGGGAACCCAGCCACCAGGCUUCCCGGAGCGGGGAGGGGCCCGGCCGGCUCACGCCAGGCGCACGCGUGAGGGCGGCGAUGUGUAUCUGGCUCUGUGUUAGCAGGGGUCAGGGGGCUCACGAAUACUGUGAGGACCCAAGGGACCACGUUUGCGGAGGCGCCCUCGUUGGUUGUCGGCCCCGGCAGUGCAGGUGUUGGAACAAGGGGUCUUUAAAGAAAAGCGAAAUUAGGGUCAGCAACUCUCUAGCUUAAGUGCUUUUAGGUUCUUGAUGUGGCAUACCGGAGACUACAGCCCAAGACAGUGCUCUGAAUCCUGUUAUAACUUCAAAUGGGAAUUCAGGAGGAUUCCUUAAUCAACUGGUUGCUUCAUCAAAGAGAGUCCUUUGAAAUAAUAUGAUGCCUAGGAUUUGGUUCAGAAUAAUUCCAUCUUCGGUGGAAGAUGAGGGGACACGGAUUCGAGCCCUGGUCCAGGAAGAUCCCACAUGCUGCGGAGCAGCUAAGCCCGUGCGCCACAACUACUGAGCCUGCGCUCUAGAGCCCGCGAGCCACAACUACUGAAGCCCACACGCCUAGAGCCCAUGCUCCACAAGAGAAGCCGCCACAGUGAGAAACCCGCACACCGAAACGAAAAGUAACUCCCGCUCGCUGCAGCUAGAGAAAGCCCGCGCACAGCAACAAAGACCCAGCGCAGCCAUAAAUAAAUAAAUAAAUAAAUGAAUGAAUGAAUGAAUGAAUGAAUAAAUAAAUAAAUAAAUAAAUAAAUAAAUAAA